GACGAACGCUGGCGGCGUGCUUAACACAUGCAAGUCGAACGGAAAGGCCCUUCGGGGUACUCGAGUGGCGAACGGGUGAGUAACACGUGGGUGAUCUGCCCUGCACUUUGGGAUAAGCCUGGGAAACUGGGUCUAAUACCGAAUAGGACCGCGCGCUUCAUGGUGUGUGGGGGAAAGCUUUUGCGGUGUUGGAUGGGCCCGCGGCCUAUCAGCUUGUUGGUGGUGUAAUGGCCUACCAAGGCGACGACGGGUAGCCGGCCUGAGAGGGUGACCGGCCACACUGGGCCUGAGAUACGGCCCAGACUCCUACGGGAGGCAGCAGUGGGGAAUAUUGCACAAUGGGCGCAAGCCUGAUGCAGCGACGCCGCGUGAGGGAUGACGGCCUUCGGGGUGUAAACCUCUUUCACCAGGGACGAAGCGCAAGUGACGGUACCUGGAGAAGAAGCACCGGCCAACUACGUG
rnacentral:rRNA from 1 species